rnacentral:misc_RNA from 1 species
GUGGGAGGGGGCUUGCUCCCGAUAGCGAUGGGCCAGUCAGCUUAAUGUGCAACUGACCCGCUGCAAUCGGGAGCAAGCCCCCUGCCAC